UGGGGAAUCUUAGACAAUGGGGGCAACCCUGAUCCAGCAAUGCCGCGUGUGUGAAGAAGGCCUGCGGGUUGUAAAGCACUUUCAGUGGGGAGGAAAAGCGAGGUGUGAAUAGCGCCUUGCGUUGACGUUACCUGCAGAAAAAGCACCGGCUAACUCUGUGCCAGCAGCCGCGGUAAUACAGAGGGUGCGAGCGUUAAUCGGAAUUACUGGGCGUAAAGCGUGCGUAGACGGUUAUUUAAGUCGGGUGUGAAAGCCCCGGGCUCAACCUGGGAAUUGCAUUCGAGACUGAAUAGCUAGGGUACGGUAGAGGGAAGUGGAAUUUCCGGUGUAGCGGUGAAAUGCGUAGAUAUCGGAAGGAACAUCAGUGGCGAAAGCGACUUCCUGGACCAGUACCGACGUUCAGGCACGAAAGCGUGGGGAGCAA
rnacentral:rRNA from 1 species